rnacentral:rRNA from 1 species
GAUGAACGCUGGCGGCGUGCCUAAUACAUGCAAGUCGAGCGAAUGGAUUAAGAGCUUGCUCUUAUGAAGUUAGCGGCGGACGGGUGAGUAACACGUGGGUAACAUGCCCAUAAGACUGGGAUAACUCCGGGAAACCGGGGCUAAUACCGGAUAACAUUUUGAACCGCAUGGUUCGAAAUUGAAAGGCGGCUUCGGCUGUCACUUAUGAAUGGACCCGCGUCGCAUUAGCUAGUUGGUGAGGUAAAGGCUCACCAAGGCAACGAUGCGUAGACGAACUGGGAGGGUGAUCGGCCACACUGGGACUGCGACACGGACCAGACUCCUACGGGAGGCAGCAUUAGGGAAUCUUCCGCAAUGGACGAAAGUCUGACGGAGCAACGCCGCGUGAGUGAUGAAGGCUUUCGGGUCGUAAAACUCUGUUGUUAGGGAAGAACAAGUGCUAGUUGAAUAAGCUGGCACCUUGACGGUACCUAACCAGAAAGCCACGGCUAACUACGUGCCAGCCGCCGCCGUAA